rnacentral:lncRNA from 1 species
UGAUUCUCCUGCGUCAGCCUCCCGAGUAGCUGGGACUACAGGCCCUGCAGAUCAAGCAGUGGGUACCGCGGCUGCUCUGGCUUCUCCUGGAAUCUCAGGUGCUCCCUCUUGUGGCUGUUCUCAGCCUAGACAACCAGAAAGCCGCAGAAAAGCACCAGCCAAGGCCGAGGCUGCGAGGGUGCUGGCGGGCAGGCCCAUCACGGGGCUGGCUGUCCUGGUCCGCGAUUCCUUGUCAGCCAUUUUCCUCAGGGGGAGCGGCAAACGCCAACCUGGACUGAACUCAUCUGGGGACAACCCUGGCUUGGAGGAGGGUCAUGUGGCUAUUUGCAGACUUUACUUCUCUUACUGUGAACACCCAUGUGCUCUGCUGCCUAAAACAUAACAUGUUUGACAAUGUGAUGCGGCCCAGACCUACCAUGGAUGCCAUGUCACUCAACCCAUUCGGAGAUGGAAUAGAACAGACAGCAACAUUCGCAUGAAAAUGUCACGAUGAAAGCACUGAGGACUCGCAGGACACCAGCGGCACUGGGGAGGUGCUUUUGAGCUUGGUCCCCCGCACCCCGGGGGUCCCCGCCUUCUCCCUCUGCCGCAUGAGAAACACUGGGGCCCAGGUGUUCUCAGCUCAUUUGUCGCCUUCCCCACCAUCUUAGAAAGCGACUGAGGUCUUUUGAAUUCCAGGGGCUGGUCUGAACCUUCCAAGAGCACAGAUUUUACUGACCUUAAGGCUCGGUGAACCCACAGCUGACAAAAGGUUCCAGAGAGGAGGAGGAGGGGCUGGCUUGGGGUCACGCAGCCAGAGGCAGGGGCUGAGCAAAGUUUCCAACAGCGAUUGUCUCCCAAAGGUCAGCCCCUGCCCGAUCGCGAUGGCGGCCACCACAAGGCGGGGCUGAGCCAGUGGGCAGGGGUGGAGUGGGAUGGAGCGGGACCCCCGACUGACAGCCUCCCGUCCUACCUGCGGU